UUAGCAAUUAAUGUCAUUUUUACAAUAGAUUUUACAACAACGCACUGUAUUCAUGUUUUUGUUGUAAAUGCAAAUGCAUGAUGGGAAAUUAACCGACAGUCCUGUAAUAUUAUUGUAACUACACCGUAGAAGCAUUUUUUUACAGAAACCGCAUAGCAUUGUGGGAUCGCUGCUGUUUGAAUUUUGAAAUUACGUGGCCAACGGACGGUACCAGAAGUAUUUUUACAUUUUUGGAAGAAAGAAGAUGUCUCAGGUAUGUAACAUAAAAUCUGUUUUAUAAGUCUUUAUAUAUUAAUACUGGUGAUCUGAGUGAGUGCUGAUUGUUUCAUUUGGUAUAAUUCAGUGGAAUAGGGUGAAGUUAGUUAAAAUCGCGUCUUCAUACUCUAUCCAAAUUUCCACCGCAGGAACUUUACUCAGAAACUAUGGACUUUGGGCUGGUACUCGGUGUGCUUCCACCGCAGCUACCAUGAUCUAAAUAAAGUUCUGGGUAAAAAAAAUGCCCCUCAGAAAGUCCCUGCUCGCGAGGUACUUGUUCAAAGGAGAGGCACUAAGUGCAGACAAAUGGAUGAUGUCUUUGGAAGGGACAACUGUGAUGGGGCCCCACAACAGCCUUCUGAAUGGAGUGGCAGCAACCUUCGCUGUCUAUGUGUUUAACUAACAGUAUACUAAAGAGGCCUCAAGCACUAAAGAGCUUUUUGUGGAAUCAACUCCAAGAUGUCAGCAAAGCAGAGAAGAGACAUGGGCUCAACGCACCUGUCUGCACCCUAUUAAGAAGACUCCUGGACUUUGAGUUGAUGGGCUAGUAUUAAUGCCCACCCACACCCCA